rnacentral:rRNA from 1 species
CCAAGGAGUCUAAUUAGGCAUCGAGUCGAUCGGUCUUGAUAGGCCAGAGCGAGGAACUUGUUCCUCAACUGAAGGCGUAGAGAAAUCAAAUCAUGUGAUCGUUGGGCUAAUACACAAGCCUGACGCGCAACAUGUGCCUGUUCGUAUAGCAAUGUGCCUUAAAACACUUGCUGGGCGGAGCAAAGAGAUGCCUGAUUGGUACCCGAAAGAUGGUGAACUAUGCUUGGGCAAAUUGAAGCCAGAGGAAACUCUGGUGGAGGAUUGUAGCGAUUCUGACGUGCAAAUCGAUCGUCAGACCUGAGUAUAGGGGCGAAAGACUAAUCGAACCAUC